rnacentral:rRNA from 1 species
GAAACCGUUCAGGGGUAAACCUGAGAAACCCAAAAGAUCGAAUGGGGAGAUUCAUCGUCGACAAGGCUGGCUUCCGUUGAUGCGCGAUGCCCCGAACGGGUUUAAUAUCCAUGCGUGGGCACACCGUCUUCGGCAAAUGUUCCGGCUAUGUAGUCGUGCACUUCUCCCUUAGUAGAACGUCGCGACCCGUUGCGUGUCGGUCUACGGCCCGAGUUGUUGACUGCCGUGUCGCCUUGUGCGUACUCAGCAGACUCUUGGUGACCUGACCGGCUGCGUGACGGUAUUCUUACGGUAUCGGGCCGCAACCAAUCCAUUUGAAAGAAUGUGUGUGCGUCAGGACCGCCGCAAGCCAGGUCAGAUACUUGGAUGGUACGGACGUAGCGCCGACUCCGAGCCUGAUCAGCUGUUUGCGCUGGCGUGUGUCCUUGGACUGGCCAAGCUUUGAAUUACCGGUCAGCGACGCUACUGCUUUGGGUACUCUCAGGACCCGUCUUGAAACACGGACCAAGGAGUCUAACAUGUGCGCGAGUCAUUGGGACAUGUAAGCCUAAAGGCGUAAUGAAAGUGAAGGUCGUCCUUUGCGUCGACCGAGGGAGGAUGGGUCGCGUCACGAUGCGGCCUCGCACUCCCGGGGCGUCUUGUUCGCAUUGCGAUAAGAGGCGCACCUAGAGCGUACACGUUGGGACCCGAAAGAUGGUGAACUAUGCCUGGUCAGGACGAAGUCAGGGGAAACCCUGAUGGAGGUCCGUAGCGAUUCUGACGUGCAAAUCGAUCGUCGGAACUGGGUAUAGGGGCGAAAGACUAAUCGAACCAUCUAGUAGCUGGUUCCCUCCGAAGUUUCCCUCAGGAUAGCUGGCACUCAUCCGUUCCUCUGUGAACGCGAGCGAGUUUCAUCUGGUAAAGCGAAUGAUUAGAGGCCUUGGGGCCGAAACGACCUCAACCUAUUCUCAAACUUUAAAUGGGUGAGAUCUCUGGCUUACUUGCAUCAAACACUGAAGCCACGAGACUAUAUAAAUUUGAAUCAGAGUGCCAAGUGGGCCAAUUUUGGUAAGCAGAACUGGCGCUGUGGGAUGAACCAAACGCAGAGUUAAGGCGCCUAAAUCGACGCUUAUGGGAUACCAUGAAAGGCGUUGGUUGCUUAAGACAGCAGGACGGUGGCCAUGGAAGUCGGAA